UAGAUACCCUGGUAGUCCUAGCUGUAAACGAUGAUUACUGGGUGUGGGCAUGAAGAGUGUCCGUGCCGAAGUUAAUGCGAUAAGUAAUCCGCCUGGGGAGUACGGCCGCAAGGCUGAAACUCAAAGGAAUUGACGGGGACCCGCACAAGCGGUGGAGCAUGUGGUUUAAUUCGACGCAACGCGAGGAACCUUACCAGAUCUUGACAUCCUCGGAAGGUGAUGGAAACAUCACCGUGCCCUCGGGAACCGA
rnacentral:rRNA from 1 species